AAAUAUUUUUGCCUCGUUGGUCCACUUGUCUGCUGGGAUUAGGCUAAGUAAGAGCCCACAUACAUCGCCCCCUCCGCUCCCUUUCUUUCGCGUACACGCAAGCGGUCCCGUCUCUCUCACACCACCUAUCGGCCGCCGUCGUCGCCUCUCCCAUCCGCCGUGCCCUAGGCCCCUUCUCUCUCGUCGAUCUGCGGCGGGUUCGGGGACACGCAAGGACGGAGAGGAUCCCGAUGGUGGUUGGGUGCCGUUGACCUCGUGCAUGGAGGCGAGGCAGAGGGUAGCGGCAGCGCCGCCGAUCACCGCGACGACAGGCGGCAGUUUGAGGGGCGGGGAGGUCGGGGAUGGAUGGAUCCGGCAGCCCCUGUACGGAUUCGAGGCGGUGGGCGCUCGGGGUCGCCGGCUGGAGCGGAUCGACGGCGGACGCGGCCAUGGUUUCCCGGCGGAACUCCAGCGUGAGCAGAAAGGCGGCGCGGGCGGGCGACGACUUCCGGCUAGGGAGAGGAGGUCGCAGGACGGCACGCUCGGCUCCGGCGGCAAGGCAUGGCUGCGGGCUAGGAUGAUGAGACCGUGGGUCGUGAAUGUGGAUGGGUGGUAGCCAUGGCCUCUCUCUCAUCUUCGAUUCUAUAGUUUCUUCAUCUGCUCUCUUCAACUAGCCCUAAUACAUUUUCGUGUUGCAGGUUUUGAAUCGUUGACACAUGGUUUGCUUGAGACAAGCGAAGCUGCUGAGGUGAUUUGUACACCUAAACUGCUUCAGGUUAAUGUCAAGGGCUUGAAAGGUGUGAGGGAAGUAAAGAUGGAUCUAUACAUAGGGUGUAUGAUCUAGUGCAUAUUAGAUAAUCAAAGUUGAUGCAUAUGUUACAGGUAUAGAGUUGUGCACCAAUCUAGUUGAUGUUCACAUAAUCCCCAAGCUGAUUUAUCGAUUAGAAGAGUCAUGUAUUAUUGUAGCUUUCUCUCUACAUCAAGUACACAUAAAUAUAAUGCCGAAGAAUGUAGUUUCUUUCAUUGUUCUGCAGAUCUUCCCCGCGAGGUGCUACAAAUCAGAUGGGCGCUGUCGUGAAGGCCGCGAAGGUGUGGCCGAUGGCACAGGUUAGCCUGUGGGUGGCACCAUCGUGCUGCUCUAGACGUGCAUUGUGGUGCUGCUCGUGGCGGCUUUCGGAGGGAGACAGAGUGCAGAACAUAGAGAGUUUGGGAGCUACUCGGGUUUGGAUCAGCAAGCCAUGUCUGUUUGGUUUGGCAAAGGAAGAUUUUAGCAGCAUUGCUACACCUCUCAAUGAGAUUACAAAGAAGGAUGUGCCUUUUGUUUGGGGUACCGCACAGGAAGAAGCCUUCACGGUGUUGAAAGAUAAGUUGACACAUGCUCCUUU